GACGCUACGGACUUGAAAAUCCGUUGGCUUUAUUGACCGUGAGGGUUCAAGUCCCUCUACCCCCA
rnacentral:tRNA from 5 species